rnacentral:pre_miRNA from 1 species
UAACAAUGCAGGUGGGGACAUGUUGGAUGUGUGAUUAUGUUUGUACAUAAUCACACAUCCAACAUGUUCCUGCCUGUAUUGUUA